UCUAAGCACAUGCCUUAAUACGGUGAAGCCGCGAAUAGCUCAUUACAACAGCCAUCGUUUACUAGAAAAUAGUUAUCUUACUUGGAUAACUGUGGCAAUUCUAGAGCUAAUACAUGCAAAAGAGCUCCGCCCGCAAGGAACGAGCGCAUUUAUUAGAAUAAAAACCAAUCGGGCUUCGGCCUGUAAUUUGGUGAAUCUGAAUAACUUUGCCAAUCGCACAGUCCUAGUACUGGCGAUGUAUCUUUCAAGUGUCUGCCUUAUCAACUUUCGAUGGUAGGUUACACGCCUACCAUGGUAGUAACGGGUAACGGAGAAUAAGGGUUCGACUCCGGAGAGGGAGCCUGAGAAACGGCUACCACA
rnacentral:rRNA from 1 species